GUCCCAACAAGACCUGGGCAGUUUCUUGGGCUGCAGCCUAACACCCUCAUCUCAGAAUCAGUGUGUUCUUCUGAGAAACCUUCACCUUCUCCCGGAGCUCUGUGAACUCAAGGGUCUCCGCUGUAUAAAAAGUCUCCCUGUGCUGAACUGUCUGUUCAUCUUCAAGCCAUCAUGAGUCCUAAGAAACGCAGAUCACAGAAGUUCUUAUCCGACAUAAAGAAUAAUAUGAAAAUUGAACACUAUUUUCCUCAGGUCAAUAAAGAACAACAGAAUAAUUCCAGUACUCCUCAAAUGAAGACAGGCUCUAGAAAAGGU
rnacentral:lncRNA from 1 species